CGUGCGGCGUCCUAUACAUGCAAGUCGAGCGCGGGAAGCAGGCAGAUCCUCUUCGGAGGUGACGCCUGUGGAACGAGCGGCGGACGGGUGAGUAACACGUGGGCAACCUGCCUGUAAGAUUGGGAUAACCCCGGGAAACCGGGGCUAAUACCGGAUAAUACUUUUCGUUGCAUAACGAGAAGUUGAAAGGCGGCUUUUAGCUGUCACUUACAGAUGGGCCCGCGGCGCAUUAGCUAGUUGGUAAGGUAACGGCUUACCAAGGCGACGAUGCGUAGCCGACCUGAGAGGGUGAUCGGCCACACUGGGACUGAGACACGGCCCAGACUCCUACGGGAGGCAGCAGUAGGGAAUCUUCCGCAAUGGACGAAAGUCUGACGGAGCAACGCCGCGUGAGUGAUGAAGGUUUUCGGAUCGUAAAACUCUGUUGUCAGGGAAGAACAAGUGCCGUUCAAAUAGGGCGGCACCUUGACGGUACCUGACCAGAAAGCCCCGGCUAACUACGUGCCAGCAGCCGCGGUAAUACGUAGGGGGCAAGCGUUGUCCGGAAUUAUUGGGCGUAAAGCGCGCGCAGGCGGUCCUUUAAGUCUGAUGUGAAAGCCC
rnacentral:rRNA from 1 species